rnacentral:rRNA from 1 species
AUUGAACGCUGGCGGCAGGCUUAACACAUGCAAGUCGAGCGCGCGGCGGACGGGUGAGUAAUGUCUGGGAAACUGCCUGAUGGAGGGGGAUAACUACUGGAAACUGUAUCUAAUACCGCAUACCAUCAGAUGUGCCCAGAUGGGAUUGGCUUGGCGGUGGGGAAAUGGCUCACCUAGGCGCCGAUCCCUAGCUGGUCUGAGAGGAUGACCAGCCACCCUGGAACUGAGACACGGUCCAGACUCCUACGGGAGGCAGCAGUGGGGAAUAUUGCACAAUGGGCGCAAGCCUGAUGCAGCCAUGCCGCGUGUAUGAAGAAGGCCUUCGGGUUGUAAAGUACUUUCAGCGAGGAGGCGUUACUCGCAGAAGAAGCACCGGCUAACUCCGUGCCAGCAGCCGCGGUAAUUC